UCUUCAUUUCCAUCUUCUCUACAGCAGAUCAUCAAAAGAACUCUGAUCUUUCCACACUGUCAGAACGUGUGCUUUUAUUAUAAUGAGUCUUUGAGACAUGAAAUGCACCUGUGAAUACAGUCAUGUUAGUUAGUGUUAGUGUGAUUUCAGAGAGAACGCUCCAGUGGACGUUCGUAUCAUCUCUUGUGUCAGCUCUGGUACUGUGAGCUGACACAGCUGAGUGGUGGUUCACUGGGAGCUGGUAGGAAGUUACAAACUUUGCAACGUUUUGGCAACAAGAGGUUUAGUGGUUUUUCAAAGUUGUCACUUACAACUGCAAUAAGUGCAGACUGAGACAUUCGUUUCACUGCUCUAACUUCAGGUGGUGGUGCAGCUGGAGGAUGGGGAACAUGAUGAGAGGCAGUGGAACGAGAACCAACAGAAACGACAAUCAAACAUCACACAAGAGGUUGGACGAAGACAUUUUGGCGGUCGUGCUUCAGGACUACCCGUCUCCUCAAAUCAGCGAGCCCACCUACAGGAUAGGGGAGAAACUCAGAGUCCUUGAACGCGGGGACUACUGGUGGAGAGUUUGUUCUGUGGGAACAGGAAAGGAGAACUACAUACCCCACAGUCACGUGGCCACAGUCUACCAUGGCUGGCUUUACGAGGGGGUGCAGAGAAAAAACGCAGAGGAGCUGCUGCUCCUACCUGAGAACAAAGUGGGUUCUUUUCUGGUGCGGGAGAACAUGAAGGAGCGAGGCACAUACUCACUGUCAGUGAAGCACCAGGUCAUCAAGCACUAUCGAAUCCACAGACUGGACAACAGCUGGUACUUCAUCUCCCCUGGUCUCACCUUCCAGUGCCUUGAAGACAUGAUCAGCCACUACUCUGAAGCUGCAGAUGGCCUGUGUUGUAUGUUAACUUCACCUUGUUUGUCCGGCACGGCGACGCAGUGGGAUGCCGAGCCCAUAGCGCCACCUGUGGUCAUGAGACGAAACUUUGACUGGAAGAAAGUGGACAGGAACCAGCUGGUCAGCACCGACAGCUGCAGUGACAGCAUUGUGAGCUACGGCGUCAGAAACAGCAUCGCCGCCUACCUGUCCCUGUCUGAGGACCAGGACCAUCCCAGGACACGCACGAAGGACAGGAAACGGAAGUGCAAAACGGUUUAUUCUUUCCCUGAACACAACCUUGAGAACAGUGACAUCUGAAGGUGGCAGCAAAAGACCACGUCUUUAUCCAGUGCCGUGCUGCCAUUUGAACUCGUCCAAUUAUAAUGAGGGACCCAAAGCUGUAGAGGACAAUAGUGCAAUUUUAAUAUGAAUAAUGACUUCUCCCUGCAUUAACUCAGAACUUACUAUCUGUACAUGAAGUUCACGUUGGAAAAAAAAAGGUGCGCCCCCACCCCCGCCCCGCCCCCACCUGUUUAUUCCUCUGACAAUCUCAGAGGAAGUGAAACUGUUCCGUAGUCACUUCCCAGGUUACAGUUACCGUAAGUUACGUGCAGGAAGUGUGUGAUGAGUCAAGACGACCUCGGUACGUUCUCCUCAGGUAAAGACAAGCUGGGUUGAAAGUCUUGUAAAAUAGGGGAAGUGUGUGUGUGCGUGUGCGUGUGUGUGUGCUGUUAUUUAUGCAUUUAUUUUUUCAGAAGAUACCAUUGUUUUGCGGACAUUUUUUGGAGAUGCUCAACGAGUAUUUUAAGGGUCAAGAUCUAGUUUGGAGUUAGGAUUAAAAUUACAGUCAAAUUACAGUAAAAGUAAUGAUUGGAGUUAGGCAUAUUUCCCUGGGUGGUUAAGGUAAAAGGCCAGUAGCACACAGAAAAGUGUGUGUGUGUUUUUAAUGGAACAACUGCUGCUCCAUCCUGCAGUGACUGGUGUAGAGUCAGCAUUAGUCACUCACGACUCCAACUGCGUCUCCUCACACGUGGAACCACACUGGAAAAUAACUGUAGGAUUAACCCUCUGAGGGACAAAUGACCGUCAAACCUACGGAAGUCAAACCUAAGGGAAGCUGUUUCGUUUUUGGGGACAACAAACACGCCCAGAAUAAACAGGACUUCCUCCCCCUCCUCCCACUCCUCCCCCCGGUCCAUCUGUUCAUCCAUAUUUAAGCAGGAGGAUCUAAAAACAACAGCUACUCCCUGGGACCGUGCAGCAUCCAGGCCAAUAUCAAUGUAGACCAGGAAGAAGAUGCUUGAUCACGCUUCCAAUCAUCACAUCUGUGUGUGUGCAGUCAAAACAACAGCUCUCAGUGGGGUAAUGGAAGGAUGAGGUUUCAGCUCAGACUCCAGAAGAACCAGACGCCCACACAGAUGUGUCUCGUCUCACACCACCAAAGGUCACGAGGUGACUUUAUGCUGAGACAAAGGGGUUUCAAAUCAGAGUUUGGUUUGAUCUUCCCAGGGACGGACGCACCAAGAAAAACACGGCACUCGACCUGAACCAAUAAGGAGACGGAGAGUUCGGGGACUUUAUUAUAAAAGACAAGGACAGAAAACAAAGAAGAAAAAUUCCUUCAUACUUUGUUGUUGAUCAGUCUCAGCUCUGCCUUCUCCACCCGUGUAAUGUUGCUAAUUAAUAAUAUGUUUGGCUCUGUGUUUCUGUGAGGUUCAAUCUAGUCAGUAUUUCCUAACCAAACAAAUCAAGAUCAGCCUCAGAUGUUCAUUUUUCAUCAGAGAACUAGAAUUUCAAAUUUGGUACACUUUGAAAAUUCAAAGAAAUUCCUCCAACCCCCCUUCCUGUUUUGCCCACGGAGCCAAUGAGUUAAACUGAUUUUAAAUCAUGACAUUGACUCUGCAUUUGACAAAUAAUCAAACUGUAAAAAGUGACUAUUUCUGACUCUGUAUUAUUGUCCCUGUCUGCCAGCUCCUACUGAUGAGUGAGUGGACAAAUGCAGAGUCUUACUGCUCUGCAGUUUUGGAAACUUUUGACAUCACUCACUGCUGCAGUCGUAAAGAUGUGCUGAGCAUCCUGACAAGGUGGAAAAGGUGGGAGGGAACCUUUUCCACUGUCGGCAGGGCAGGACCACUUGGUUCUUAGCCUCAGGGAAUGAGUCGUUUAAAGGUGAACCGGCGACCAGAGCCAAGAGACACAUUCAAGGACGUCCAGACAGCAGGAGAAAACAAACAAGAUGUGGAACAACACUGUGGAAAAAAAUGACUUAAAUUCAAGGAACAUUCAGGGACUUUUUCACCUUUACACCAGUGACAUUCAGUGUCAUCACCAGGGUGUAAAUCACUGACGGGUGACAAACAAACAAACAAACAAGACAAGGACCCGAGGGUCAGGCAGAACUGAAUCAGUUGUUCUGGGAAACAGUUAAAUAAUUUUUAUUUGGAUAAAAAGCAACAACAUGUUUCAGCUGUGGCUGAUCAGCCAGCUGAGUCUGAGCCAAGACGAUCAUGUCGGCAGCGGGGCUACAAGGAAACAGCGGAGGUAGAAAGUGGAGUGGAGGACAAUUUGAAGCAGCUGUCUGCCACGUGUCUGCUCGCAGAAAAAUCAUUAGCCGUUCCCUGCCGUGUCUUAUGAGGCCAUUUCUUGGUAAACCUAAAUAAUCCCAGUUGUUUUCUUCUUAUAUGGGCAACGUAACUUUAGAGACCUGUCAGGUUUCACCGCCGUGACAUGAGGUCAAACCAUCAGAUAAUAUCCAGGUAAAGACAAAAACAAACAUAAAAGUUUUGAGUUUGUGUUAUUAUUUAAUUUUGACUUCCUCUUUUUAUUACAGAGAAAUGAUGACGUGAAUUAGUGAAUUAGUUUGUAUUUAAUUUGAAACCAGGAUCAAGACAGAAGAACUCUUACUGAAGAAGAACUAUUAUAAUGAAUAUUCUUAGUGUUUAAGGAGGCGGACUUGGGUCUGGAAAGCUUCAGGUUUGAGUACAGCAGCUUCCAAGUUACCACUGAGGUGCUCUGAGCAUGGCACCGUCCCCACACACUGCUCCCCGGGCGCUUAAAGCUGCCCACUGUUUACUUUGGUGAGGGGUUAAAAGCAGAGGUCACAUUUGGUUGUGUGCAGUCACAAUGACAAGUAGUUCACUUUACUUUCCUUUUAUAUUUAUUGUUCCUUACACAUUAAAGAGUCGCCUCCUGUCCCAUUCCCUGGGCUAAAUUUGGGAACAAAGUUCUCAAGUCAGCCUUGGUUCAUUUGUUGGUUCAAUGUACUGUUUAGAAAAAGCUACAUCAUGGUGGUUUGUUUUGUGUUUCUGCAGAAACAUGCUAAUGAAGGCAGCUCUUCAGCUGUGGUCUGAAGACUCUUACAAAAUAAACCUUAGAGCUCCUUUAUCUCAACAACUACGUGCUGCACCCUGCAGAUAUCAUGGAGGAUAUAUGGAGGAAUAUAUAUGUAUAUUUCUGUAUCUAUAGUUGUCUUUAAUCAUUUCUAUUUUUUAUUAUUAUUAUUUUAUUCUGUCAACAUUACAUUUCCCCGUUGUGGGAUAAAUAAAGUUUCAUCUAAGUUAAAGAAAUUAGACAAUUCUUCUCAUUAUGUUAAUGUUGCAGUACUACAUCAUGUGAAGUACUUUUUCAGAAUGGUCGAUGCAGUUGUGUUUUUGGGAAACUGCCAGCAGGCUGACACUAAGAGUAAUUAUCAGGAAGGAACUUGAGAUAAGUAAAGAUGGAUGGACUGGAGGAGGAGAGUGAAUAUUUGUCUCCCGGGCAGGAGUUCAGAUAUGAUUGAUGGAACCAGAAGUCUUGAAGUACUGCGACGGCUCUUCUAGUCUUAGCCUGGACAUUGUAGGUCCUACCAGUGACGGUGUAGUGUCCUGUCCGCUGUUGAAACAAACCAGCUCACAGAAAACCACUUCCUGUUGUUUACACAUUUCCACGGGCGGAGCAGAGAAUGACGCCACCACGGGGUGAAGACCUAGCAUUUCUCAAAUGCUGUCAAAAGACACCGCACAUUUUUGUGCAAAAAUGUUUCGACACAAAACAUCACAGUGGUGUACGAGUGUUUCGACAAGUAGGGAGGGAGACGUUCUGAGGCAACAUCUGCUGCCAGGGACAUUUGAUCCUUUUCUUUCAAACUGUGGACACGUUUGCUAAACACUGAUGUCUUUUUAGACUUUAUCUGAAGCAGAUGUCUGAUGCUCACUACCUGCCAGUCCACGAUGUUUAUAGUACACUCACUAAAGUGAGUGAGUUUGUUGUUGAGGGAAAUAGAUUUGACCAGGGACACAGACAUGUGACCUUUAAACUGGAGUGAUUAGUCAGUUAGCUUAGCAUCAGCAUUUCCUCAACUGUCUAUAGACGUACACCUUCAAAAGAACAAGGAAAUAGAUAGAUGGAUAGAUAGAUAGAUGGAUAGAUAGAUAGAUAGAGAGAGUCUGGUCUGAUCAUGACAUGGUGACAACAAAUGCAAUUACAAAGUCAUUAAUUGUUUACUGCUUUACUUGUGGUAUAUCUGCUAGACUAAGCACCACUAGAUGUGAAAGAUUCUCUAGGGAAGAGGGUUUGGCAAAAGGGAACAGAUCAUAAAGUUGAUUUACACACACACACACACACACACACACACACUCAUUUUUGGAUCCUGAGCCUCGUGCUGUCUUUCACUGAAAAGCUCUGAUGUAAUUGAUUGAACUUUUGGCCUCUGAUUACAGUGAACACAACUUUAGAUAAGUGGGUGUGGGAGCCAUUUAGAAAAAAAGAAAGUUGCUCUUCUGAUAGACAUGUCAACUCAGUAACCCUACAUGGACCCGCGUCACUCCCACAGCCCAGUUCCUUCUGCAAGUUUCUGUGCCGUGCACAUUCCCUGGGUGACAUCUUAAUCAAAGUUCAUCCAAAUCAAUACAUGUUUUACCCCAGAAUUGAUCGGUAAUUUGAAGAGUUCAAGCUCAAAGGUUAUUUUAUAUUGACUGACUGCAAUUGUCAGCAUUUCACAGAAUCUGUUAAACACCAGUAGUUCUCUAGCAGGGGUCGCCAACGCCUCACUUACCAGCUGGCAAUAGCUCGACGCCCCUUUCCAAGGAGUUCGCUAAAGGCUAAUGAAUCAAACAAACAAACAUUUAUAAACUGGAUUUUCCAAUCAAAAUGGACACUUGUCCCGCCCCCUUUCAAAAACCAAAUGUUUAUUUGUCAUUUAGCUAUCAAUCAAAAUUUGCCGUCAACCUUGAUUCGUCAGUGUUGAUGAGUGAUGAGCUGCAGUCAUGAUGGUGACAGGUGUCCAAACCAACAAGGGGAUUCAGUAGUCGCUGUUGUUGGACACAGGGAGUUGGUGAUAACCUACCUAGACAAGAAAAAACAAAAAAAACCCACUUCUGUUCCUUCAAACAACUCUCUCAGUCUGCAUGACAACACUGAAAUAUCUCAUCUGUCUCUCCUGCAACUGCCACAGACUCCCCCACCAAUAGAAACCCUUCAGUUUUCUGAUCCUGGCUUCACCCAGAUGUGUGCCGUCCAGAUAAUGAUGAAAACCACAUGCUGCAGCGUGUUUCCUAUAAGCCCUGCUGGAAUUGUCCUUUUUGGAGACAGCGUCUCUCUUCCUUUUGGCACAAGAGGACACCUGAAGGUUGGACAUCUUCCAUGUGGAGGAUGCAACAGUCACAGCCAAACAGCAGGACUGAGAGAAACAGCGGGUCACUGUGGCAGUAGCUGACGUGGAGCAGGAGUGUGUGUGUGUGUGUGCCUGUAUAGCUGGAGACACUGGAGAUGCCUGCCUAAGAGCCAGCAAGUGAACCUCUAAGUUGAGUCUUCAGGACGAGGAGUGUUUUAUUCCAACAGUGCGCAGUAAUGAGAAUGAACUCAGCCUGACAGCUACACUCUUGCACAAUGGACAAAAUAAACACACUCUGUGUCACAAUCCACAGAGUUCAUCUGGAAGCUACAGUAACAGGAGGAGGUUUAGUGUCCAGCGCAGUAACAAUGUACGACUGUCUCGUUCCACGGUGCAGAUGAAGUUGUGUUCACUGUAAUCAGGGGCCAAAAGUGCAAUCAGUUACAUCAGAGGUUUUCAGUGAAAGACAGCACGAGGCUCAGGAUCCUGACUGAACGAUACUUUUGGUCCAUUUUAGCGCUUUUCCAAUCAUAUAACUUCUGGCUAACAAUUGGGUAUUUCUGUUCUGCUAACUGAUCCUGAACUGUGCGGCAAGCUUCGAACUGUUAUCUCCACAUUAUGUGGCAAAAUUUAGCCAAAAUACUGCAGGACACAAAACUCAAUGUACUUUUUAUAGACUUGCCUUCAUUUAUUUUGUAGCUAAUUAAGAAUAUUGACUAAUUUUAGGCUGAAUUUAUAAAUAAAUUAUGGUCUUGCUUGUUUUUGUCAUAUUGUCAUAUGUUGACAUGUUCAGAUAUUUACUUUUUUAUGUUAUUAUGUUUUUCUGAGUUUUUAGAACAAAAUAUUCACUUGGCAGCGUGUUCUGGGGAAUAAACAUGCAUUUUGAGGC